AGAGUUUGAUCAUGGCUCAGAUUGAACGCUGGCGGCAUGCUUAAUACAUGCAAGUCGAACGGUAACAGAUUCUUCGGAAUGCUGACGAGUGGCGGACGGGUGAGUAAUACAUAGGAAUCUGCCCAUGUAGUGGGGGACAACUUGGGGAAACUCAAGCUAAUACCGCAUAAUUCUUACGGGAUAAAGAGGGCCACUGCUUGCAAGCUCUUGCUACUGGAUGAGCCUAUGUCGGAUUAGUUAGUUGGUAAGGUAAUGGCUUACCAAGACAGCGAUCCGUAGCUGGUUUGAGAGGAUGAUCAGCCACACUGGGACUGAGACACGACCCAGACUCCUACGGGAGGCAGCAGUAGGGAGUAUUGGACAAUGGGCGCAAGCCUGAUCCAGCAAUGCCGCGUGUGUGAAGAAGGCCUGCGGGUUGUAAAGCACUUUCAAUUGGGAAGAAAGAUUAUGAGUUAAUACCUUAUAAUAUUGACG
rnacentral:rRNA from 1 species